rnacentral:lncRNA from 1 species
GGAACGGCGAUGCGACAGAGUGCUGCACAUGGCUGAAACUGAAGAAAUGGUGCUGCACACGUCGAAAAGGCUCAGAAAGCUGUCCUUACAAAAGGGCAAGAGCACCAAAGGAAUUAUAACUGCCAUGGCCU